rnacentral:rRNA from 1 species
UACGUAGAAGACUAGUGUUAGUCAUCUUUAUUAGGUUUAAAGGGUACCUAGACGGUAAAUAAAAACUUGAAUAGAGUACUUAUUUACUAGAGUUUUAUAAGAGAAGGAAGAACUUCUGGAGUAGUGAUAGAAUACUUUGAUACCAGAGGGACUGGUCACGGCGAAGGCAUCCUUCUAUGUAAAAACUGACGUUGAGGGACGAAGGCUUGGGGAUCAAUCAGG